rnacentral:lncRNA from 1 species
CUGAAAUGUCUCGCCUUCUUUACUAUUCAUUGAUAUAAUGUAAUUUAUGUUGAUAGUCCUAAAUAUAAAGCUUUAUUACAACUGUCACAUAAACUUAACACAAACCAAGAAAAUUAAACAUUGACCUUUGAACCAUAAAAAUGAUAUCAUGGUCAGAUGAACCAUGCCAGGCAGGCAUGUACAGCUAACAAUUCUUCCAUACAACACAUUUAAUUAACCUAUUGCUUAUAGUAAGAAAAACAGACCAAAACACAAAAAACUUAACUUUGACCACUGAACCAUGAAAAUGAGGUGAAUGUCAGAUGACACCUGCCAGCUAGACAUGUUUACCUUACAGUUAUCCCAUACAAAAAUUAUUAGAACUAAAACUCAAAACCUUAACUUUGACCAUUGAACCAUGAAAAUGAGGCCAAGGUCAGAUGACACCUGCCAGCUAGAUA